rnacentral:lncRNA from 1 species
AAAUCUAUGUUACUAGCUGCUGCUGAAAAAUGUACAUUGUAUGAAAGUAAUCGAUAAACGUGUUUUAAAGUUACGUCGGAUCAAUUAAAUCCAAAGCAUGCACUGCUCGUAAACUGUGAUGGAGACGACAAUUUCCUACAAUGACAAAAGAAAUACAUUGUGUGUAUUCCGUCGUUAUACAUGUUGCCUCUUCAACGUCCCCACCUAAAAAGAAAAAAAAAGUUUUUGCUAUUAUAAACCCGC